rnacentral:rRNA from 1 species
UACAUGUGGGGCAAGCGUUGUUCGGAAUUACUGGGCGUAAAGGGUGCGUAGGCGGUCGGGUAAGUCUGGCGUGAAAUCUCCAAGCCUAACUUGGAAACUGCGUUGGAUACUAUCCGGCUCGAGGAAUGGAGGGGAGACUGGAAUACUUGGUGUAGCAGUGAAAUGCGUAGAUAUCAAGUGGAACACCAGUGGCGAAGGCGAGUCUCUGGACAUUUCCUGACGCUGAGGCACGAAAGCCAGGGGUGCAAACGGG